rnacentral:rRNA from 1 species
GACGAACGCUGGCGGCGUGCUUUACACAUGCAAGUCGAACGGUGAAGGUGGAGCUUGCUCCGCCGGAUCAGUGGCGAACGGGUGAGUAACACGUGGGCAACCUGCCCCUAACUUUGGGAUAACUACUCGAAAGAGUAGCUAAUACCGGAUAUGAAGUCUGUAGGCAUCUACGGAUUUGGAAAGUUUUUCGGUUAGGGAUGGGCCCGCGGCCUAUCGGCUUGUUGGUGAGGUAGUGGCUCACCAAGGCGACGACGGGUAGCCGGCCUGAGAGGGCGACCGGCCACACUGGGACUGAGACACGGCCCAGACUCCUACGGGAGGCAGCAGUGGGGAAUAUUGCGCAAUGGGCGAAAGCCUGACGCAGCAACGCCGCGUGCGGGAUGAAGGCCUUCGGGUUGUAACCCGCUUUCAGCAGGGAAGAAGCGAAAGUGACGGUACCUGCAGAAGAAGCACCGGCUAACUACGUGCCAGCCGCCGCCGUAA